AAGGCGGGGUCGAAUUUUGAUAACUCCAUAGAUUAUGAGUCAUGUUGCCAACUAGGGAACCACAGAGCACUUCAGUGCCUCCUUCUCUUUUAUUCAUUUCUAUCUAUCCUUGUUGUAUUCACCGGCAGUCACGAUAUCUUAGAUUCUUUGUAAUCUUUUCAGAGCAGCGUCUUAACUAUUACUCCAAGAGCUUCGGGGGCUAAUCAUCUUAUAAAGAUGAACUCGGCAAUCCAGCAAAAGCAGCUAGUUGGACUGUUUAUUUAUGUCCCUCAAAUGAGCUGAUUAUGAAUUCCUUGGAUGAGUCGCUAAGUUGCAGUGACUCUCAGGUUUUCCCAUCUGUGAGAUAAAGUGGAUGAAAUUCCUGUUUUGAUCUGUUCUUGAGCAGCAAAUCAGCUUCUGCCAUACUUCUACGCCUGCCGCCUGAGCUCAUUCGGUGUUCUCUUUGUCGCUGUCCAUUAUGUUUUCUCAGGCUGCGCUACAGAUCUGUUUUCUCCACCUAUUGAACCCCCCGUCCUCAAAACAGUUAGAAACUUCUGCAAUGCAUGAUAAGCCGCAUCUACCUAAUAUUAUCGACAGACUUUUUCUACCAGGAAAAGAAAUGCCCAAUGAAAGCAAAUCAAUGGGCCAUGGAAGCAGGUCUUCCCAGCAGUGACCUAAUCUGCCUGUUUCAAAAGAAGAGGUUACAAUGACAUGAACCGUAAGACGGGAGAGAGAGCUCGCUAAGCUUGAAUCCCUGCCCGUAUGCUUACCUGCUAGGUCACAUCUCUGAGCUCCAAUGUCCUCAUCUGUGAAAUGGUAAGAGCGAUAGUCACCUGACCUGGCGCUUCAGGUUUGCUGAUCGUUUUUAACGUAUCAUACGUGGAAUUUUUUGUACACUUUACAACGCUAUGCAAAUAUAAGUUCGCAUGAUUCUUCUUUCACUUUUGGCAGGACUCUAAAGUUAAAGCUGGACUCUUUUUCCCGUCCUCAGUGGAGAGAAGUACUAGGUAGGGAAGCAUGUAUUUAUCUAGCACACUGGGGGCAAGGAUUUUAUGGUGGAGUGACCUUGGCCGGCAUUUGGUAAAAUUGCUGGGUAGACAUAUUUUUGCCUUGGUUUGGAGCUUGUAAGAACACACCCCUGAGACAAAGAUUAGAAUGUCAAGAGUUCACUUGGGAAAUGACCCUAGGAAACACCUGUAGGGGGAUGGGGAAGUGAGUCAAGGAAGGAAAGGAGCCAAGGAAUGGUGGGUUAACAAGGGAGCCCUUACCAAGGUGGGCAAGCUGAGCUUAAUUCCGCGGGGGAGUAUGAAGCCAGUGUAGGACACACACCUCAGAGCUGGUCCAUCCCCAGCACAGUGAAGCCCGGGAACUGAACCACUCAUUCCAUUCAGCUGAUCGGUUAAGCGUUUCUCACUGGGAGGUAUUAACGCCACAGCACUUUCUACCCACCUCUCCUCUCCCAUGGCCAGAGGAAGGCUCUGCGGCAGGGAAUGACCACGGAGGGCCAGGGGCCAUCGUGGUGCCGGCAGUUGGAUGUUUAGCCACCGUUACAAAAAUAUUAAGGGAUUAGAGGCAGGGCACCGAUGGCAUCAAUCUCAAUGAUGCAUCAGGAAGUUUGGGUAAAGCAUCUUAAUCUCUGUGCCUCAGAUGGUGUUUUGUCUUAUUCAGUGAUUAUAAACAAUAUGAUCUAUGAUUUGAUGUUAUUAACACUGGUGGUAGGAGAGAGCAAAGACUGAAGAGGCUAUUGUGUGGUGAAGCACCUGGGUGGCUCACUCCGUUAAGCAUCUGACUCCUGAUUUCUGCUCAGGUCACAAUGUCACGGUUUGUGGGUUCAAGCCCUGCAUCAGGCUCCGUGCCGACAGUGCACAGCUACUUGGGAUUCUCUCCCUGCCUCCCUGCCUCUCCCCUGCUUGUAUUUGCUCUCUCUCAAAAAUAAAUAAAUACACUAAAAAACACCCCCAAGAUUUAGAUUGCUAUCGUGUGGGUCAUUUGAUAUCUGCCUCUCUACCUAGAUCUCUAUCUAUGUGCAUAUACAUAUGUAUAUGUUUAUUUAUUUAAUAUAUAAGCUGUUGUCUGUUGUGGCUAAGGAUCAGGUGUUCUGGUGAGAGAAACAAAAAUAGAAAACAUGUAAAAGAAGCACUAGAUUUUCAUUCCGGAGCUUUCCUUGUCAUCAACCGAUAUGUAAUCGCAGACAAUUCACCUCUCCUCGAUUGCAAAAUUAGAGUUUUGAGCCGAAGCAGGGACAAAAGCUACAUUUCAAGGCAUGUGCCACCUUCAGGAAUGAGGGGUGGCUGGCCAAGAUCACUUGGCUGAGAAUUAUGAGACUGUGUUCAGGUUCAUGGUAGAUGAGCCCGUCCUUGUCUACUUAUGUCUACAAGGAGCCCGGUCACAAUGAUUGUUACAGGCGCUAUAAACUCCUUUUACCCCAUUCUGUCCUAGCUUUGUUUUAUAAUCAUCAACUUAAAGAAGUUUCCACUGAAAACAGUGUGGAGGUUCCUCAAGAAAUUAAAAAUAGAACUGCCCUAUGACCCAGAAAUAGCACUAAUAAGAAUUUACCCGAGGGAUACAGGAGUGCUGAUUCAUAGGGGCACGUGUACCCCAAUGUUUAUAGCAGCGCUUUCGACAAUAGCCAAAUUAUGGAAAAAGCCCAAAUGUCCAUCAACUGAUGAAUGGAGAAAGAAGAUGUGGUUUAUAUAUACAAUGGAAUACUACUUGGCUAUGAGAAAGAAGGAAAUCAUGUCAUUUGCAGCAAGGGGGAUGGAACUGGAAGGUAUUAUGCUGAGCGAAAUUAGUCAG